GCCUUCUCAAAGAAGAUAAAAUUCCACCGCCGCUCCUCCUCGGCACCUCCUUUCCUACUGAAUUGCGGCCAGGUCGCCAGCCUCAGAACCUGAGAUCAGAGAUGAGAACGGCGAUGGUCUGGGCUUCAGCAGUGCGAGAAUCGACUGAGCGGCCGACCAUGGCGCGAGGGGAGUGGCCAGGCCGCGAGUCGGAGCGUGGUGCCGGAGUCGGGCGGGCGCAACGAAGGGCCAGAGCUAGCGGGUUCUGGAGCUGGAGGGCGCAGAAAGAUGGAGCAGCCGGCUGCGUCAAGGACGGCGCGGACGCGGAGUCGGCGGAGUGGCCGGGCCGCGAGCUGGAGCGUGACGCCGGAGCCGGGUGGACGCGGCGAAGGGGCGGAGCUGGCGAGUUCCGGAGCUGGAGGGGGUCAGGCGCAUCAAGCGCGGUGCGGGCGCGGAGUCGACGGAGCGGCACGGUCAGCGCAGCCGACAAGGGCGUGGUCCGGCACGGCGCGAGCCAGAAGGGAGCGGCACGGAAGUCAGAGGCGCGAGUGGAGCGGUGGGGCUCGCCGGAGCCGGAGCUUGGCGUGGAGCAUGUGGAGAGGCCGGAGGGCACGGGGGGAGGACGUCGUGGGAGCAGGACGACGGUAGGGCGAUGGAACGCGAGCCGGCGCUGGCCGAGGAGCGAGCGGAGCGUCGGACUUGGGCGCAUGCGUGGCCGGAGCGGCAGAGGUGCGGGACUCUCGAGCUGCAGACGUAUUCCGGGAGCAGGGCGCCAACGGCGGGCGCGCGGCCAUGCCGCACAGGGGAGGAGCAUGGGUGUGGUAUCAAGCACGGUGGCGCGCUGAGGGUGCGAAGGGCGUCGCGGGAUGCAAAUGGCGCGGGUCCGGAGGGGCGGCGCAGGCGGCGUCCUGACGGACACGUGCCGUGCGGGCCAACGCAGGUGAAGGAAGAUGCAUGAUGACUUGAUGAGGCUCGCUCGAGGGAGUGUCUGGCCGGGAGCCAGAGGAGGGUGCUCCAGGGGCGCACGCGGGAGCCGCCGGCGGGGUUGCGGCCUCGCGCAGGGCUAGAGGAGGUUGCGCAGAGCUACGCAGGGCGGCGGCCGGCGCGGGAAGAGCAGUUUCGCGGGUGCUGGCAGGCGCGCAGGAGAGGAGGGAGCCAUCGAUCGUGGCGUGGCUAAUCCAGAGCGGAGCAGGGGAGGGAGGCGACCACCACACAGCCCCACGGCCCCCACGGGCGCCGGCCGCGUCGUGCUGCACCAGUGAGGCAAAAUCCUCCUAUUCUCUCUAAGUUGGUUCUCAUUUCUGUGAUUGAAUUGGUUCUUUUGGGAUGCAUGCUUUAGGCUCCAUUGUAGAUAUUUAUUUCAUAUCGUCAAUGGAAUGGAGAGAUGUAUGGACCGCGAGUUGAAUUAGCCAACUGGACCAAAAAAAUCAGGUUUCAGUAAUAACAAGAUUUGUCCAUUUGUACUCAAUAGUUAAAUUGAGGAUAAAGGUUCUAAAAUGCAAGCAAACCUCUAUGAUAAUCACAUCAACACCAUGAUUUUACUCCAAUAUCAAUGUAUAAACAUGGACUGAUACAGAGUAACUUACUAAAUCCAUUUUUAUCCUGAUUUGGGUUUGUCCAAUUUUCUGGCCUGACUUUCAUCUGCUACCAUUUUUUAACCUUCUCAUUCUAUUUUACUCAAAGGUUACCUAUUUGCUAAGUCGAAACACUUCCUAUUGCUGUUAGCUGAACGCAUUUCUAGGUGCUAUGCAGGCAUUCUAGGGCUUCAUACAGCGAAGGUAUGUUUUGUUUAUUUCACGAGUCAGUUUAGAUCCUUACUGUACAUGUGCCAACAUGCUUAUUUCUUAUAAUUUCUGUAGAAAGCUUGCUAUUUCUGUUUGGUAUCAGAAAGCUCAUCUAUCUCAAAUGGAAUAGUUCAUGAGAGGAACAAAGAACAAAAGGACGAUAAUAUUUCUGUUUCAUAUCAGAAAGCUCAUAUAUCUCAAAUGGAAUAGUUUAUGAGAGGAACAAAGAACAAAAGGACGAUGAUAUUUUUAUUUUUUUGGUUUUGAAUGGUCAUUUGUAUGCUUACAAUAUUAUACCAAACGUGUUACAGGAGAAUGAGAAAUGACAGGGUUUAUUCAAAUCAGUAGUUUUUCAUGUAAUAUUAGACUGAAAAAAUGGUAAGCUACUAUCGUAUAUACAACUGAUGACUGAUCUCUACAUUUGCUCACAACAUUACAGGGUCUGUGACUGAACCUGAAAUGUGCUCACCGCAUAGUUGAUUUGCACGGACAACUUUUGUUACAUCGGCUGCAAGCCAUGUUGAGAGAGAGUAAACGUAUCUAGACUUAAAUACAUUCUCUAUGUCUGGAUUAAUUUGUUGAGACUUUCCAAGGUAUGCUCCUACAUAAUAAUAUAUGCAUUGGCAUUUCAAUGAAAGACGUACCACAACCUGCAGUGUUUUUCUUUUUCUUGGCUAUUCAUUUUUUCGCAUUAUGCCAGACUCAGUUCGUACAGUUCACAUUUGCCAUAAAGUAGUUUGAAGAUAUUACCGACAAAGAUGAAUUGGUCCCUAUGGCCAAAGCUAGGUUCGUUGAGCUGUCCACCAGUAAACUAAGUACGGAAUAUUUUUGCUUCCAGGUUCAGUCCUUUCAACCAAAGACAACCAAAGACCAGUGCAACAACGCGACAACCAAAAUAACACCACUGAUAAACAUGCCAACAUGCUCUCACCAAUACAGCAGAGCAACCAACUAAAACUACACCUGUGAUAGGCACACCAAUAUGAUCCUUCACUCAACAGGACUGGAAAAUAUAUGUUCUUCUUUAGCUUGGAGUUAUAUCGGAACUUUCUUCGCUUAUAGUUAUAUCGUUUCUUCUUUCGCAUGGAGAAAUUUUGUAAUAUUAAACAUGGUGACCACAUAAGAAUUCAGUUGAUGAGUUCAUAAUAUUUUGACCAAAUCUGAGGCAGGGUGAUUUUCUCUUAUAAAUUGAUCUUCAUGAGUUUAUAAAUUGACGUUUCUGUAUUUAACUGAAAGGUUCAUGGUGCUUAGUUUCCAGGUGGCCUUUUUGAUUUGCCAAAUUAUUAACAGAAAUAUGUAUACUUAAGGAGUCAUCAAUUGCAUCGACCAAGAUGCACUUCAUCCGCUACCUUACUCUGGUCACAAUAUCGGAAACUAGGGUUCAUUGUACAUAUUUACUUCCUGAUGUAGCCAUUUGGUAAAAUAGUAGUAGCAUAAUAUCAUCUGUUUUACUUUUCCCUACUGAAAACAGUCUGUUGUUUUUACCAACCACUGUACAUGUUCAGAACUUCACAUGUUAAAACAUGGAUAGGCAUUAAACCAUUGUCUUGCUUAAUUGAGGAAAUUUCCCAUUUUGCUUAUCUAGCAAUUUGCGUAUUCAUCUUGCUCUCUGAAUUUCUUUAGUAUGUCAGUGUUUUCUUUCAGAUGUCCUUUAUUUAUCAAAGAUCUCUGCCAAUACAUUUCAAAAUUAGUACAUUAAUUGGUCGCAUUGUUCACAAAGAACCUUGGUUCUUUUCCUUGGUCCAAUUGUGUUGUGCUUGCUUAGCUGAUCACUAUUCUGCAGAACUAGGCCAAAUAUGGUUUGGGUCGCAACAAAAGAAGAGUCUGUUUGCACCUCACAAUUUUCAAAGGAUAUGUCUUCAGAUCUUUAAGCUCUGUUUUCCCAGAUGACAAGAUUCAUCGAGCUCACCUGAAAAUUUUCAAAGGAUAUGCCUUCAGAUCUUUAAGCUAUGUUUUCCCAGAUGACAAGAUUCAUCGAGCUACCACAUAAUUUUCAAGUAACAAUGAUGAAAUGGGGCAACAAUACAUAUCAGGUCGUCCAGGCAGCAGCUGAAAACAGAAAAGGAGCAUAUGGGAAUUGAUUACCUCCUCCACACCUGAGGUUGUCUCCGUCAACAACGCUCUCGACCCAUAAAGCCCUGGCGAUGGCUGCGCCAAGCUCAACUUGCCCAUCGACCUACUGCUCGACCUUUCACAGGGAUGGAAGACUCAGACUAUCAACGAAGCCGCAGGUGCCGUACAAGCACUGAAGGUCCCCACUCAAGCAAGGAGCAAUGCCGUCCGCGGACCCAACACAAAAUGCCUCCAAAGAAGACUGUAAGCAUCCCCUCAUCUGACAAAGAGGACAACAAUGCAUAUUAUUGAUGAGCUUGACACCAACUAUCCGCAACAAAGUAUGGCUAAUUUUGGUAAUCAGCUGCACUGUCCUUCUGAACCACCAAGCUCUCCAUCCUCUACGGAGCAACAUACCUCUCCCGACUGAUAGCCCAUAUAUAGAGCAGGCUAUGCUCUGCUUUUGUCAUCUGAAUUUUGCUACUCUAUAGAUAAUCGGUAGAUGGCACAAAGUACUAUCGAUGACUAGAAAUCAUGUAGUGUGUAAAUGCAGAAAAACCCAAAGAAUGUACUAUGUAAUGCAUGUCUCUAUCUUACGAUGCUUUCUGUUUGUAUCCAUAUCAAUAAGCAAUCUUCCGCAAUGAUCUGUCCAUGUUACUGAUACGUCCAAAACGUAUCUACUUUUCCGAACA